rnacentral:rRNA from 1 species
AGCGAACGCUGGCGGCAGGCCUAACACAUGCAAGUCGAACGAACCUUUCGGGGUUAGUGGCGGACGGGUGAGUAACACGUGGGAACGUGCCUUUAGGUUCGGAAUAACUCAGGGAAACUUGUGCUAAUACCGAAUGUGCCCUUCGGGGGAAAGAUUUAUCGCCUUUAGAGCGGCCCGCGUCUGUUUAGCUAGUUGGUUGAGGUAAUGGCACACCAAGGCGACGAUCAGUAGCUGGUCUGAGAGGAUGAUCAGCCACAUUGGGACUGAGACACGGCCCAAACUCCUACGGGAGGCAGCAGUGGGGAAUCUUGCGCAAUGGGCGAAAGCCUGACGCAGCCAUGCCGCGUGAAUGAUGAAGGUCUUAGGAUUGUAAAAUUCUUUCACCGGGGACGAUAAUGACGGUACCCGGAGAAGAAGCCCCGGCUAACUUCGUG